GCAGUCGAGCGGACAGAUGGGAGCUUGCUCCCUGAUGUCAGCGGCGGACGGGUGAGUAACACGUGGGUAACCUGCCUGUAAGACUGGGAUAACUCCGGGAAACCGGGGCUAAUACCGGAUGCUUGAUUGAACCGCAUGGUUCAAUUAUAAAAGGUGGCUUUUAGCUACCACUUACAGAUGGACCCGCGGCGCAUUAGCUAGUUGGUGAGGUAACGGCUCACCAAGGCAACGAUGCGUAGCCGACCUGAGAGGGUGAUCGGCCACACUGGGACUGAGACACGGCCCAGACUCCUACGGGAGGCAGCAGUAGGGAAUCUUCCGCAAUGAACGAAAGUCUGACGGAGCAACGCCGCGUGAGUGAUGAAGGUUUUCGGAUCGUAAAACUCUGUUGUUAGGGAAGAACAAGUACCGUUCGAAUAGGGCGGUACCUUGACGGUACCUAACCA
rnacentral:rRNA from 1 species